rnacentral:lncRNA from 1 species
ACAGAAAUAAAUCUCACCCUUUCAUAUAGCCAAACAGAGAUAACCCAUGGCAUACAUAUUUUCAAGGGAAACAAUGACUAUUCCUUAAGUUACCGACAGCAUCAUUUGUCACACAUAGUUCAUCCUAAAUUUACCUGGUAGUUGGGGUGACUAUCUGUGUUAGAUAAUUGGCUUUAUCCGAAGGAAAAAAAUAGUGUUACAAAGAAAUGGAUUAAAUUAGGGGAACUGUGUGAGAGUCUCUCACAUUUUAUCUUUCAACAUUAGAUUAAUCACAAGCACAAAAAUACUAUCUUAUUGAGCUAAAAAAAUUCUUUGAUCAGAGUUCUCUUAAUGAUGACUCCAGUUCACUUUUUAUGUGUAAAUCA